GACGAACGCUGGCGGCGUGCUUAACACAUGCAAGUCGAGCGGAGCGGCGAACGGGUGAGUAACGCGUGAGUAACUGCCCCCCUCUCUGGGAUAACAGUUGGAAACGGCUGCCAAUACCGGAUAUUGGGGGGUGACUCGCGUCCUAUCAGCCUGUUGGUGGGGUAGUGGCCUAACAAGGCGACGAUGGGUAGCCGGCCUGAGAGGGCGACAGGCCAAAUUGGGCUAAGAUACAGGCCGAACUCCUCCGGGAGGGAGCAGUAGUGAAUAUUGCACCAUGGUGGGAGACCUGAUGCAGCAACGCGCGUGCGGGAUGACGGACUUCGGGUUGUAAACCGCUGUCAACCAUGACGCGGUAGUGGCAGAAGAAGCAAAGACUAACUACGUGCCAGCAACCGCAGAAAUAC
rnacentral:rRNA from 1 species